UGGAGGACUGAGAAGGUUGAACAGCUGCUGCUGUGCUGUUAUAACUGGUUUUAACCUCCAAAAGUAACUUAACAAACCACAUAGUUAGUCAUUCUGAUCUAUUCAGAAUAGAUGUUGGUUGGUUUGUUAAACAUUAC